rnacentral:rRNA from 1 species
UACGGGGGGGGCAAGCGUUGUUCGGAAUUACUGGGCGUAAAGGGCUCGUAGGCGGCCAACUAAGUCAGACGUGAAAUCCCUCGGCUUAACCGGGGAACUGCCUCUGAUACUGGAUGGCUUGAGAUUGGGAGAGGGAUGCGGAAUUCCAGGUGUAGCGGUGAAAUGCGUAGAUAUCUGGAGGAACACCGGUGGCGAAGGCGGCAUCCUGGACCGGCAUUGACGCUGAGGAGCGAAAGCCAGGGGAGCAAACGGG